rnacentral:rRNA from 1 species
UACGGGGGGGGCAAGCGUUGUUCGGAAUUACUGGGCGUAAAGCGUGCGCAGGCGGUUUUGCAAGCCGGAUGUGAAAUCCCCGGGCUUAACCUGGGAAUGGCAUUUGGGACUGCAAGGCUGGAGUGCGGCAGAGGAGACUGGAAUUCCUGGUGUAGCAGUGAAAUGCGUAGAUAUCAGGAGGAACACCGAUGGCGAAGGCAGGUCUCUGGACAGUUCCUGACGCUGAGGCACGAAGGUCAGGGGAGCAAACGGG